AGCGAACGCUGGCGGCAGGCCUAACACAUGCAAGUCGAACGAAGCCUUCGGGCUUAGUGGCGGACGGGUGAGUAACACGUGGGAACGUACCUUUUGGUUCGGAACAACUCAGGGAAACUUGAGCUAAUACCGGAUGAGCCCUUAGGGGAAAGAUUUAUCGCCGAAAGAGCGGCCCGCGUUAGAUUAGCUAGUUGGUGAGGUAAAGGCUCACCAAGGCAACGACCUAUAGCUGGUCUGAGAGGAUGAUCAGCCACACUGGGACUGAGAACACGGCCCAGACUCCUACGGGAGGCAGCAGUGGGGAAUCUUGCGCAAUGGGCGAAAGCCUGACGCAGCCAUGCCGCGUGAAUGAUGAAGGUCUUAGGAUUGUAAAAUUCUUUUACCAGGGACGAUAAUGACGGUACCUGGAGAAAAAGCCCCGGCUAACUUCGUGCCAGCCGCCGCCGUAAUAC
rnacentral:rRNA from 1 species